rnacentral:rRNA from 1 species
AGAGUUUGAUCAUGGCUCAGGAUGAACGCUAGCGGCAGGCUUAACACAUGCAAGUCGAGGGGCAUCGCGGGGUAGCAAUACUCUGGCGGCGACCGGCGGAAGGGUGCGUAACGCGUGAGCAACUUGCCCGUCACUGGGGGAUAGGCACUGGAAACGGUGUAAUACUCCAUACAUAUGGAUUCACAUGGAUUUAUAUGAAAGAUCCUGGUGACCGAUGGCUCGGUAACAUUACUGCGGGGGGUAACCCACCGAGGCUCGAUGUUAGGGUUCUUAGGAAGGACCCCCACACUGGAAACUGAGACACGGCCACA